rnacentral:rRNA from 1 species
GUGGGGAAUAUUGGACAAUGGGCGCAAGCCUGAUCCAGCAAUUCCGCGUGAGCGAAGAAGGCCUUCGGGUUGUAAAGCUCUUUCGGCGGGGACGAUAAUGACGGUACCCGCAGAAGAAGCCCCGGCUAACUCCGUGCCAGCAGCCGCGGUAAUACGGAGGGGGCUAGCGUUGUUCGGAAUCACUGGGCGUAAAGCGCACGUAGGCGGCUACUCCAGUCAGAGGUGAAAGCCCGGGGCUCAACUCCGGAAUUGCCUUUGAAACUAGGUAGCUUGAACGUCGGAGAGGUAAGUGGAAUUCCGAGUGUAGAGGUGAAAUUCGUAGAUAUUCGGAAGAACACCAGUGGCGAAGGCGACUUACUGGACGACUGUUGACGCUGAGGUGCGAAAGCGUGGGGAGCAAACAGGAUUAGAUACCCUUGUAGUCC